CCUACGGGGUGCAGCAGUAGGGAAUCUUGCUCAAUGGGGGAAACCCUGAAGCAGCAACGCCGCGUGGAGGAUGAAGGUUUUCGGAUUGUAAACUCCUUUUGUUAGAGAAGAUAAUGACUGUAUCUAACGAAUAACCACUUGCCAACACCGUGCCAGCAGCCGCGGUAUUACGGAGGGUGCAAGCGUUACUCGGAAUCACUGGGCGUAAAGAGCGCGUAGGUGGGUUAGCAAGUCAGAUGUGAAAUCCUAUGGCUUAACCAUAGAAGUGCAUUGGAAACUGUUAUUCUAGAGUAUGGGAGAGGUAGGUGGAAUUAGUGGUGUAGGGGUAAAAUGCGUAGAGAUAAAGAGGAAUACUCAUUGCGAAGGCGACCUGCUAGAACGUAACUGACGCUGAUGCGCGAAAGCGUGGGGAGCAAACAGGAUUAGAUACCCUUGUAGUC
rnacentral:rRNA from 1 species